rnacentral:rRNA from 1 species
GACGAACGCUGGCGGCGUGCUUAACACAUGCAAGUCGAGCGGAAAGGCCACUUCGGUGGUACUCGAGCGGCGAACGGGUGAGUAACACGUGAGUAAUCUGCCCUUGGCUUUGGGAUAGCCACCGGAAACGGUGAUUAAUACCGGAUAGGACGACUCCUCGCAUGUGGUGGGGGUGGAAAGUUUUUCGGCCAGGGAUGUGCUCGCGGCCUAUGAGCUUGAUGGUGAGGUAAUGGCUCACCAUGGCUUCGACGGGUCGCCGGCCGGAGAGGGUGACCGGUCACACUGGGACUGAGACACGGCCCAGACUCCUACGGGAGGCAGCAGUGGGGAAUAUUGGACAAUGGGCGGAAGCCUGAUCCAGCAACGCCGCGUGAGGGAUGACGGCCUUCGGGUUGUAAACCUCUUUCACCCAUGACGAAGCGCAAGUGACGGUAGUGGGAGAAGAAGCACCGGCCAACUACGUGCCAGCCGCCGCAGUAACAC